UGCAUCAUCUGCUCUAUCUGUGCCAUCCACUCCAUCAUUUGGAUCUGAAGCCACUGGUACUUAUCGACACAUGCAGUCAACUCAUUAGCUCGCUGCUCAGUCUGCCUCUGCACCUCCGCCAGCCGAGCAUCGCAGGUAGCAUGGAUGUCAGUCCUGGACGAGCAUGAGGAUGAGGGAGCAGUGAUCCCAUGCCCUAGACCCCUAAUAUAACAGGGUUUCGUACCAAGCACCUGAC
rnacentral:lncRNA from 1 species